CAGAGAUUGCCCUGGUGCCCAGCAAACCUGAGAAAGUGGCUCCUUCACGCCAGGAUAUCUUCCAAGAACAACUGGCAGCCAUCCCAGAAUUCAAGGGCCUGGGUCCUUUAUUCAAAUCCUCAGAGGCAGUGCAGCUGACAGAAGCAGAAACAGAAUAUUUCGUUCGCUGCAUCAAACACAUCUUCCCAAACCACAUCGUUUUCCAGUUUUCAUCAAACACAUCUUCCCAAACCAC